ACCGGGAACAAUGGGGUGAAGCGCAGGUUUGGGGGCAAGUGGGGACUGCCUAUUCCGGAUCAGUGGUGCGGCGGCCCCGAGACUCCACGACCGCGUGCGCUGGUCUUUCCCGCCUGCGAGCGCCGCCUCCGCCAGGUCCCAGUUUUAUAAGGAAUUUGGCGAGUGUGACCUUGAGUGCAUGCUGCACGUGCAGUGGUGUGGCCCCAGAGUUCAGGCCUAGACGAAGAGCGGACACGGACUGCACACUCCCGAUAGACGUGUAGCGCCGUGUCCACGCCUGCUCAGUUGCUCUAAUGCUGAUGUGAUCAUGCUGCAAUCGUGAUGAUGAUGAUGAGGUGUCUGCCCAGGGGACUGGAACAUAAUUAACCUGUCUGUGGCGGUUGUUGCACAAAAAUGAAGACUUCCAAACCUGACCGUAAGUUCAAGACAAGCUGCAAAAAAAGGAAUAAAGAUUCAAAGACUUUGGAACACAAUUCCAGCAACAUCAGACCAAGGAACAUGGACUUGGAGGUUGCUCGUGAAUUCCAGGACCUCCACUGCAUCCACCGGCAAGAGGGCCAUCCCCCCCACCAGCUCUACCAGCACCACCUCUACCUGCAGGAAUUCUUCCUCCUCUUCCAGGUCCUUUACCUCUACUAAAUGGUCCCAGCACCGGUACCUUUGUUGGGGGAUCAGUGACCCAUAAUCACACCACCUGCUCCAAGCUAUGAAAUGGAAGUACAAAUAAAUGUAUA